UACGUAGGGGGCAAGCGUUGUCCGGAUUUAUUGGGCGUAAAGAGCUCGUAGGCGGCUCAUUGCGUCAACCGUGAAAACCAGCAGCUCAACUGUUGGCUUGCGGUUGAUACGGGUGGGCUGGAGUUCGGUAGGGGAGACUGGAAUUCCUGGUGUAGCGGUGAAAUGCGCAGAUAUCAGGAGGAACACCGGUGGCGAAGGCGGGUCUCUGGGCCGAUACUGACGCUGAGGAGCGAAAGCGUGGGGAGCGAACAGG
rnacentral:rRNA from 1 species